UACAAAUCAGUUUGAUCAGAACAGCCUGCACUCUCCUGCAAAAGUGCAGGCUGUAGCAGUCUAUGCUGAGUGGUGCUGGAGCUGGCUUCUAUCCUUUUUCUGGUUGGAAAAGAAGAACAGUGGAAAUAACCUUUUCUUCAUGUUUCGAAUAGUUUUAGAGGAAUUAAGACAUCCUUCAGAACAACGACCCAAACAUCAUCACAGCCGAGUCUGGACAGAACGUCACUCUGCCAUGUCGAGCUUUGAACAACAACGACAUCAUAAUUCUUGAGUGGAGCAGAGCUGAUCUGGGGACACAGCAUGUUGUUGUGUACCGGGAUGGGCAGUUUGCUCCAGACAACCAGCAUCAAUCUUUUAAGAACCGGGUGGAUCUGCAGGACAGACAGAUGAAGGAUGGAGACGUGUCUUUGAUUCUGAAGAAUGUGACGACUGCUGAUAAUGGAACAUACGAGUGUCGUGUCUUAAUGGGAGAAAUACACUCGUGGGAGCUCAACGUCAUCUACCUGAGUGUUGUUGAUCCUCCAGGUCAGACAGGAGGAGGCACAGAGGAUGAAGGGAAGGAGGAUCCAGUCAGUAGAGGAAACACUGGCCUGGGAGCAAGUCUCAGUUUUUUGUGUACUUGUUGUUUGUUUUAUCUAAUAUUUAAAGAACCAUGAAGCAUGAAAACUGCAGAGUGUCUUUUGAAACAGAUCUACAUGACUUGAAUAAAAAGAUAUAUAUUUAAAGUUUAA
ensembl:lncRNA